rnacentral:rRNA from 1 species
CCUACGGGAGGCAGCAGUGAGGAAUAUUGGUCAAUGGGCUUACGCCUGAACCAGCCAAGUCGCGUGAGGGAAGACUGCCCUAUGGGUUGUAAACCUCUUUUGUCAGGGAGCAACGCCGGCUACGUGUAGCCGGACUGAGAGUACCUGAAGAAAAAGCAUCGGCUAACUCCGUGCCAGCAGCCGCGGUAAUACGGAGGAUGCGAGCGUUAUCCGGAUUUAUUGGGUUUAAAGGGUGCGUAGGCGGAAUGCCAAGUCAGCGGGAAAAUCGCGGGGCUCAAGCUCGCUCCGCCGUUGAAACUGGCGUUCUUGAGUGGGCGAGAGGUAUGCGGAAUGCGUGGUGUAGCGGUGAAAUGCAUAGAUAUCUCGCAGAACUCCGAUUGCGAAGGCAGCAAACCGGCGCCCAACUGACGCUGAAGCGCGAAAGCGUGGGUAUCGAACAGGAUUAGAUACCCCGGUAGUC